CGGUGGCGGAGCGUCGUUUGCGACGCCCAACACACAAAACAAGCGGUGAGUGCUUUGGGGUGGGGUGACUGCGUACCUUUUGUAUAAUGGGUCAGCGACUUAUAUUCUGUAGCAAGGUUAACCGUAUAGGGGAGCCGAAGGGAAACCGAGUCUUAACUGGGCGUUAAGUUGCAGGGUAUAGACCCGAAACCCGGUGAUCUAGCCAUGGGCAGGUUGAAGGUUGGGUAACACUAACUGGAGGACCGAACCGACUAAUGUUGAAAAAUUAGCGGAUGACUUGUGGCUGGGGGUGAAAGGCCAAUCAAACCGGGAGAUAGCUGGUUCUCCCCGAAAGCUAUUUAGGUAGCGCCUCGUGAACUCAUCUUCGGGGGUAGAGCACUGUUUCGGCUAGGGGGUCAUCCCGACUUACCAACCCGAUGCAAACUGCGAAUACCGAAGAAUGUUAUCACGGGAGACACACGGCGGGUGCUAACGUCCGUCGUGAAGAGGGAAACAACCCAGACCGCCAGCUAAGGUCCCAAAGUCACAGUUAAGUGGGAAACGAUGUGGGAAGGCUCAGACAGCCAGGAUGUUGGCUUAGAAGCAGCCAUCAUUUAAAGAAAGCGUAAUAGCUCACUGGUCGAGUCGGCCUGCGCGGAAGAUGUAACGGGGCUAAACUGUGCACCGAAGCUGCGGCAGCGACGCUUAUGCGUUGUUGGGUAGGGGAGCGUUCUGUAAGCCUGCGAAGGUGUCCUGUGAGGGAUGCUGGAGGUAUCAGAAGUGCGAAUGCUGACAUAAGUAACGAUAA
rnacentral:rRNA from 1 species